GACAGAGGGUGCAAACGUUGCUCGGAAUUACUGGGCGUAAAGCGCACGUAGGCGGCUUGGUAAGUUAGAGGUGAAAGCCCGGGGCUCAACUCCGGAACUGCCUUUGAGACUGCAUCGCUUGAAUCCAGGAGAGGUGAGUGGAAUUCCGAGUGUAGAGGUGAAAUUCGUAGAUAUUCGGAAGAACACCAGUGGCGAAGGCGGCUCACUGGACUGGUAUUGACGCUGAGGUGCGAAAGCGUGGGGAGCAAACAGG
rnacentral:rRNA from 1 species